CCUACGGGAGGCAGCAGUGAGGAAUAUUGGUCAAUGGGCGAGAGCCUGAACCAGCCAAGUCGCGUGAAGGAUGAAGGAUCUAUGGUUUUUAAACUUCUUUUAUAUGGGAAUAAAGUGAAGAACGUGUUCCUUUUUGUAUUUACCAUAUGAAUAAGCAUCGGCUAACUCCGUGCCAUCAGCCCCGUUAAGACGGAGGAUGCGAGCGUUAUCCGGAUUUAUUGGGUUUAAAGGGUGCGUAGGUGGUUAAUUAAGUCAGCGGUGAAUGUAUGUGGCCUAACCAUAAAAUUGCCGUUGAAACAGGUUGACUUGAGUGUAUUUGAGGUAGGCGGAAUGCGUGGUGUAGCGGUGAAAUGCAUAGAUAUCACGCAGAACUCCGAUUGCGAAGGCAGCUUACUAACCUAUAACUGACACUGAAGCACGAAAGCGUGGGGAUCAAACAGGAUUAGAUACCCCGGUAGUC
rnacentral:rRNA from 1 species